rnacentral:lncRNA from 1 species
UUCCAUGCUUGUUAUAGGGUUAACCCCUCACUAGCAUGUUGAAGCUAUCCUCACAUGGUGGAUUUGUGGUUUUUUUAGGUUGAGUUUUCUCCCUUUGAUAACAAAAGACCUUAAGGCUUUUGGACCAAUCAAUUCACCAACUUGUUUUUGAGAUUUUUACCCCGAACUACGAGGUUUUGAUCAUAAUCUUUUUUAAGAUGGUACGUAGGCAAUGGGUUUAUCCAUCCAAACACAAAAAAUCUAAAUAAAU